AAAAAAAAAAAAAGGCGGGGCCCAGCCAGCUCUUUUGUCAAGCCUGAAACUAAGUGUACCUCACAACAGACGAACGCCACUUGGCACCCUUUCUAGGAAGAUGUCAGUAUUAUCCAUGUUAAGUGUCACGAUGUUUUCUGCACUGAAUGAAAAAGAAUGCUCUUCAUAGCUAUAUCUUAAUACUGUGAUUUUUAAAACAAAAACAAACAAACAAACCACUCUGAUACAACUAGUUAACUAGCUUGUGGUCGUGUGUCUAAUCACCGAUACCUGGAGUUCUCUAAUCCAGGGUUCAGUCCAGUGUAUGUUCAAAGCCUAGCUCUUGAACCUGCUGGGCACAGCAGAAGCCCAAAUAAACAACUGCAGACAGCUGCCCCGGGGUGUGCACCCCUCACCUGUCACUGUCCCUAAGCUGUGUACAAUCUCUUCCCAAUGUGUGAAUCUGUUCCUUCAGUCACUUUUAUUUAAAAACAAAAAACAAGUGCCAGCCAGGUUUGACUGAACCAUGACAGGAAACCGUCAACUUUACAUCAGUGUUUCCGUCAGGGCCACUGUGUAGGCCUCUUAGGCUACUGUUUUAGAGAAUUGUUAGCUAUGAAUUAUUACCAAAGAACGGUGGCAAUUUGAGCUGUUCUGUUGAGUCUCCAUGUCAUUUCCAAUGUCCUGGCCACAUUUCUCCUUGGCGUGUCUUCAUAACUCCAAGAUCCACAAUGUCAUUAUCACAUUGGAGGCCAAGGGGGUGGGGUCUUACAGACACACCUGAGGACAGGCACAUUUCCAAAGCAAGGUCUGAGGCCUGCUUCCUGCCACUUGCUCACUACUGUCCUUGGUGCCAUCCUCUCAGACCUGGGGAUUUGCAGCCCUUCACCCCUGUGAUAACAGGCCUAAAUAGGAAUUAUUGAGCCGAUACCAGCAUCCCCACCCCCACCCCCCAGCUUGUUGUGGAUACAGGGCUAUCCAGGACAUCAGGAAUCAGGGUGAACACAGAAGGGCAAAUAGAAUUUUCUAGUCACAUGAGCUGAUUGGUUCCAGGCAAUUAGAAAAUGGCUGUAACUUAAUCUUAAUUUAAAAAAAAAAAAAUCGAGUCUGUUUUCUCCAUAGGAGACUGAACUGACUGUACGAGUGAUUUAUAUCCUGAAUUUAUGGGAACCCGUAUGUUUGGAACGUCCUCCUGUAAGCUGAUGAAUGUAAAGAGUUAAUUUCAGGGUACAGUUUUGCCUUAAUGGUUUUAAAAAAAAAUAAACUAUUUUUAAAAAUU
rnacentral:lncRNA from 1 species